AACGAACGCUGGCGGCAUGCCUAACACAUGCAAGUCGAACGAGACCUUCGGGUCUAGUGGCGCACGGGUGCGUAACGCGUGGGAACCUGCCCUUAGGUUCGGAAUAACUCCCCGAAGGGGGUGCUAAUACCGGAUAAUGUCUUCGGACCAAAGAUCUAUCGCCUUUGGAUGGGCCCGCGUUGGAUUAGCCAGUUGGUAGGGUAAAAGCCUACCAAGGCGACGAUCCAUAGCUGGUCUGUGAGGAUGAUCAGCCACACUGGGAAUGAGACACGGCCCAGACUCCUACGGGAGGCAGCAGUGGGGAAUACUGGACAAUGGGCGAAAGCCUGAUCCAGCAAUGCCGCGUGAGUGAUGAAGGCCUUAGGGUUGUAAAGCUCUUUUACCCGGGAUGAUAAUGACAGUACCGGGAGAAUAAGCUCCGGCUAACUCCGUG
rnacentral:rRNA from 1 species